AACGCGAAGAACCUUACCUGGGUUUGACAUGCACAGGACGCUGGUAGAGAUAUCAGUUCCCUUGUGGUCUGUGUGCAGGUGGUGCAUGGCUGUCGUCAGCUCGUGUCGUGAGAUGUUGGGUUAAGUCCCGCAACGAGCGCAACCCUUGUCUCAUGUUGCCAGCGGGUAAUGCCGGGGACUCGUGAGAGACUGCCGGGGUCAACUCGGAGGAAGGUGGGGAUGACGUCAAGUCAUCAUGGCCUUUAUGGCCAGGGCUACACACGUGCUACAAUGGCAGGUACAGAGGGAAGCCAACUCGCGAGAGGGAGCCAAUCCCAGAAAGCCUGUCGUAGUCCGGAUCGGAGUCUGCAACUCGACUCCGUGAAGUCGGAAUCGCUAGUAAUCGCAGAUCAGCAUUGCUGCGGUGAAUACGUUCCCGGGCCUUGUACACACCGCGCAUA
rnacentral:rRNA from 1 species